rnacentral:lncRNA from 10 species
UUUAAGGACCCUUGUGAUUACCUUGAGCCAAUCCAGGUGGGCUUGUAUUAUUACAAGACAAGAACAUAGAUGGCGCUUUUGCCCUGUUGACCCCUUUGCCACCUGCUCCCUCCAGGAGAGAACCUUGGUGGUGAAACAGCUAAUGGUUCACAUCCUUUGGCCCACCGUGAUGUGCUUCAGAAAACUACUCAUUUGAGCGACAUAUAAAUUACUAAUGAUGUAUGAAUUAUGAUUACAAUCAUUUGAAACAUGGAUAGAAGUGUAACCAAGCACCAGAAACGCCUGUAGAAAAUCAAAGAUAGUUUUGUUAUGAAGUGGCCCUGUGGAUAGGGCAUUUCCUUUUUCAAAAUGCUUCUUGUUUCAUACAUCUCCUUUUGGGGAAAGUAUUGCUACUAUUCAUAGUGAACUGGCUAGACAAACCACUGCACGUGCAUGCAAAGACACACACAAAGACACACCCACACACAGUUCAAUUCAAUCGAAUGGUAGGUGUUUCCCCUACGUGUCUCCAGACAAUUCGUACUUUUACACACAUUUGAAAGUUUUAACAUUAUUUUU